rnacentral:ncRNA from 1 species
ACAGGUGCCUGUGUUUCAUUCCACAGGAUAAUAGGGAAGAGGGGUGCGAUUCCCCCGCGGUCACGCCGCUGUAUACGCUGAGCCUGCUCUCCAUUUGCCACUGGAUCUUUUCGAUCCGGGAAGGCGCAGAGCAGGCGGUGAAGCCAAGCCAGAAGACCUGCCUGAACGUA